rnacentral:rRNA from 1 species
CCUACGGGGCGCAGCAGUGGGGAAUAUUGGACAAUGGGCGAAAGCCUGAUCCAGCCAUGCCGCGUGUGUGAAGAAGGCCUUCGGGUUGUAAAGCACUUUCAGUGGGGAAGAAAGCCUUGGGGCUAAUACCCUCGAGGAAGGACAUCACCCACAGAAGAAGCACCGGCUAACUCCGUGCCAGCAGCCGCGGUAAUACGGAGGGUGCGAGCGUUAAUCGGAAUUACUGGGCGUAAAGCGCGCGUAGGCGGUCUGAUAAGCCGGUUGUGAAAGCCCCGGGCUCAACCUGGGAACGGCAUCCGGAACUGUCGGGCUAGAGUGCAGGAGAGGAAGGUAGAAUUCCCGGUGUAGCGGUGAAAUGCGUAGAGAUCGGGAGGAAUACCAGUGGCGAAGGCGGCCUUCUGGACUGACACUGACGCUGAGGUGCGAAAGCGUGGGUAGCAAACAGGAUUAGAUACCCGAGUAGUC